rnacentral:rRNA from 1 species
CCAUCCCAGUUCGGAUUGCAGGCUGCAACCCGCCUGUAUGAAGUUGGAAUCGCUAGUAAUCGCGGAUCAGCAUGCCGCGGUGAGUACGUUCCCGGGCCUUGUACACACCGCCCGUCACACCAUGAGAGUCGGGAACACCCGAAGUCCGUAGCCUAACCGCAAGGAGGGCGCGGCCGAAGGUGGGUUCGAUAAUUGGGGUGAAGUCGUAACAAGGUAUC